rnacentral:rRNA from 1 species
CCCGCACAAGCGGUGGAGCAUGUGGUUUAAUUCGACGCAACGCGAAGAACCUUACCAGGGCUUGACAUCCCCUGACCGCGUAUGAAAGUACGUUUUCACCUCGGGUGACAGGGAGACAGGUGGUGCAUGGUUGUCGUCAGCUCGUGUCGUGAGAUGUUGGGUUAAGUCCCGCAACGAGCGCAACCCCUACGUUUAGUUGCUAACGCGUGAAGGCGAGCACUCUAGACGAACUGCCGUUGACAAAACGGAGGAAGUGGGAUGACGUCAAAUCAUCAUGCCCCUUAUGUUCUGGGCUACACACGUGCUACAAUGGCCGGUACAGACGGACGCAAAGCCGCGAGGUGGAGCAAAUCCUAAAAAGCCGGUCUCAGUUCGGAUUGCAGGCUGCAAUUCGCCUGCAUGAAGUCGGAAUCGCUAGUAAUCGCAGGUCAGCAUACUGCGGUGAAUACGUUCCCGGGCCUU